rnacentral:rRNA from 1 species
CGUGACUAACCUACCUUCGAGUGGGGAAUAACCUCGGGAAACCGGGGCUAAUACCGCAUAACAUCAUCGGGUGAAAUUCCUGCUGAUCAAAAGUUUUUUGCUUGAAGAGGGGGUCGCGGCUGAUUAGCUAGUUGGUGAGGUGAUGGCUCACCAAGGCGAUGAUCAGUAGCCGGCCUGAGAGGGCGCACGGCCACACUGGAACUGAAACACGGUCCAGACUCCUACGGGAGGCAGCAGUGGGGAAUUUUGCGCAAUGGGGGAAACCCUGACGCAGCAACGCCGCGUGGAGGAUGAAGUCCCUUGGGACGUAAACUCCUUUCGAUCGGGACGAAUAAUGACGGUACCGGAAGAAGAAGCCCCGGCUAACUUCGUGCCAGCAGCCGCGGUAAUACGAGGGGGGCAAGCGUUGUUCGGAAUUAUUGGGCGUAAAGGGCGCGUAGGCGGUGCGGAAAGUCUUCAGUGAAAUCUCUGGGCUCAACUCAGAGUCUGCUGGGGAAACUCCCGUGCUUGAGUGUGGGAGAGGUGAGUGGAAUUCCCGGUGUAGCGGUGAAAUGCGUAGAUAUCGAGAGGAACACCUGUGGC